CCGGCGCACGGGUGAGUAACACGUAUCCAACCUGCCGUCUACUCUUGGACAGCCUUCUGAAAGGAAGAUUAAUACAAGAUGGCAUCAUGAGUCCACAUGUUCACAUGAUUAAAGGUAUUCCGGUAGACGAUGGGGAUGCGUUCCAUUAGAUAGUAGGCGGGGUAACGGCCCACCUAGUCUUCGAUGGAUAGGGGUUCUGAGGGGAAGGUCCCCCACAUUGGAACUGAGACACGGUCCAA
rnacentral:rRNA from 1 species